AAACUCAAAUGAAUUGACGGGGAGCACCACAACGGGUGGAGCUUGCGGUUUAAUUGGAUUCAACGCCGGAAAUCUUACCGGGACCGACAGCAAUAUGAAGGCCAGGCUGAAGACUUUGCCGGAUUAGCUGAGAGGUGGUGCAUGGCCGUCGUCAGUUCGUACUGUGAAGCAUCCUGUUAAGUCAGGCAACGAGCGAGACCCACGCCCACAGUUGCCAGCGUACUCUCUGGAGUGACGGGUACACUGUGGGACCGCCGCUGCUAAAGCGGAGGAAGGAAUGGGCAACGGUAGGUCAGUAUGCCCCGAAUAUCCCGGGCUACACGCGAGCUACAAUGGUUGGUACAAUGGGUAUCUACCCCGAAAGGGGACGGGAAUCUCCUAAAACCAAUCUUAGUUCGGAUUGUGGGCUGCAACUCGCCCACAUGAAGCUGGAAUCCGUAGUAAUCGCGUUUCAACAGAACGCGGUGAAUACGUCCCUGCUCCUU
rnacentral:rRNA from 1 species